UACAGAGGGUGCAAGCGUUAAUCGGAAUUACUGGGCGUAAAGCGUGCGUAGACGGUCAUGUAAGUCGGGUGUGAAAGCCCUGGGCUCAACCUGGGAAUGGCAUUUGGGACUGCAAGGCUGGAGUUUGGCAGAGGAGACUGGAAUUCCUGGUGUAGCAGUGAAAUGCGUAGAUAUCAGGAGGAAUACCGAUGGCGAAGGCAGGUCUCUGGGCUAUAACUGACGCUCAUGCACGAAAGCGUGGGGAGCAAACAGG
rnacentral:rRNA from 1 species